UACGGGGGGUGCAAGCGUUAUUCGGAAUCAUUGGGCGUAAAGAGCGCGUAGGCGGCCCUAUAAGUCAGAUGUGAAAGCCCGGGGCUUAACCCCGGAAGUGCAUUUGAAACUAUUGGGCUUGAGUAUGGGAGAGGGAAGUGGAAUUCCUGGUGUAGAGGUGAAAUUCGUAGAUAUCAGGAGGAACACCGGUGGCGAAGGCGACUUCCUGGACCAAUACUGACGCUGAGGCGCGAAGGCGUGGGGAGCAAACAGG
rnacentral:rRNA from 1 species